CAGCCGCCACGGGAAAACGUAGGGGGCAAGCGUUAUCCGGAAUUACUGGGUGUAAAGGGAGCGUAGACGGUUAAACAAGUCUGAAGUGAAAUGCCGGGGCUCAACCCCGGAGCUGCUUUGGGAACUGUAGAACUGGAGUGUCGGAGGGGUAAGCGGAAUUCCCAGUGUAGCGGUGAAAUGCGUAGAUAUUGGGAGGAACACCGGCGGCGAAGGCGGCUUACUGGACGACAACUGACGUUGAGGCUCGAAGGCGUGGGUAGCAAACAGGAUUAGAUACCCCCGUAGUCCCUGUCUCUUAUAC
rnacentral:rRNA from 1 species